ACGGAGCGACGCCGCGUGAGCGAAGAAGGCUUCGGGUCGUAAAGCUCUGUUGUGAGGGACGAAGGGGCGCCGUUCGAAGAGGGCGGCGCGGUGACGGUACCUCACGAGAAAGCCCCGGCUAACUACGUGCCAGCAGCCGCGGUAAUACGUAGGGGGCGAGCGUUGUCCGGAAUUAUUGGGCGUAAAGCGCGCGCAGGCGGUCUCUUAAGUCUGAUGUGAAAGCCCACGGCUCAACCGUGGAGGGUCAUUGGAAACUGGGGGACUUGAGGGCAGGAGAGGAGAGCGGAAUUCCACGUGUAGCGGUGAAAUGCGUAGAGAUGUGGAGGAACACCAGUGGCGAAGGCGGCUCUCUGGCCUGCAACUGACGCUGAGGCGCGAAAGCGUGGGGAGCAAACAGGAUUAGAUACCCUGGUAGUCCACGCCGUAAACGAUGAGUGCUAAGUGUUAGAGGGGUCACACCCUUUAGUGCUGCAGCUAACGCGAUAAGCACUCCGCCUGGGGAGUACGGCCGCAAGGCUGAAACUCAAAGGAAUUGACGGGGGCCCGCACAAGCGGUGGAGCAUGUGGUUUAAUUCGAA
rnacentral:rRNA from 1 species